AUUCAGAUGACGAGUCCCAAAUAGGACGAAAUGCACAUUCAGUGU
rnacentral:hammerhead_ribozyme from 1 species